CAGGGAGACAACAAAAUGUUUAAUAUUAUUUUGUCACCUUAGGUCGAUCGGUAUCUCACGUUCUUAAUUUAUUAAGAAUUUUAUUUCCUAAGUUUUUCUAGGUCACACCCAUUAUUUUUCCUGGGCCAUUAGCUCAGGUGGUUAGAGCGCACCCCUGAUAAGGGUGAGGUCCCUGGUUCAAGUCCAGGAUGGCCCAUACUCUAUGUUGGGGGUAUAGCUCAGUUGGUAGAGCGCCUGCUUUGCAAGCAGGAUGUCAGCGGUUCGAGUCCGCUUACCUCCACUGAUUACCACCUCUUCCAUAAUUUAUAGAAAGGAAAUAUAUUGAGUUGUGAUCAAAUUCUGAACGAUUCUAGCUUCCUAAUGAAACCAUUAAGAUGCUGGAUUCAUUGAAUUAAUUUCAUUGUUUUCAGAGAACCUUGACAACUGCAUAGAUUUUUUUUAAAGACAAUAAGCAUCUUUAAUGAUGCAGAUUUAUUAUUUGUGCGAAUGCAUUAAUAACAAUUCUAUUAAGCUGAUGCUUCAAUUUUUGAAGUUAUU
rnacentral:tRNA from 1 species